GCCAGACUCCUACGGGAGGCAGCAGUGGGGGAUAUUGCACAAUGGGGGAAACCCUGAUGCAGCGACGCCGCGUGUGGGAGGACGGUCCUCUGGAUUGUAAACCACUGUCCCCAGGGGCGAAGAUGACGGUAGCAGAGGAGGAAGCUCCGGCUAACUACGUGCCAGCAGCCGCGGUAAUACGUAGGGGGCAAGCGUUAUCCGGAUUUACUGGGUGUAAAGGGAGCGUAGACGGCAUGGCAAGUCAGAUGUGAAAGCCCGGGGCUCAACCCCGGGACUGCAUUUGAAACUGUCAGGCUGGAGUGCAGGAGAGGUAAGUGGAAUUCCUAGUGUAGCGGUGAAAUGCGUAGAUAUUAGGAGGAACACCAGUGGCGAAGGCGGCUUACUGGACUGUAACUGACGUUGAGGCUCGAAAGCGUGGGGAGCAAACAGGAUUAGAUACCCUAGUAA
rnacentral:rRNA from 1 species